rnacentral:rRNA from 1 species
GCGGACGGGUGAGUAACACGUGGAUAACCUACCUAUAAGACUGGGAUAACUUCGGGAAACCGGAGCUAAUACCGGAUAAUAUAUUGAACCGCAUGGUUCAAUAGUGAAAGACGGUUUUGCUGUCACUUAUAGAUGGAUCCGCGCCGCAUUAGCUAGUUGGUAAGGUAACGGCUUACCAAGGCAACGAUGCGUAACCGACCUGAGAGGGUGAUCGGCCACACUGGAACUGAGACACGGUCCAG